AGCAGACUUUGAGCGUGAAUCCUCAAGCAUUUCACGAAGGCAACAAGCGAGAAGAUAGAAACGCUUUCUGAGCAGAAGAUGAAGCUGUCCGUGAUGUUGUUGGUGACUUCGCUUGCAGCUUGCCUGGCUGGUGCACAGCGGUAUCCUCAGUACGCGAGGCCUAACGUCACUGCGGUAGUUAACCGCAGUGACGACGCCGGUGUGGUCCGCACGAUACACACCAGCAAAGACGGCCGCACUCGCCUGGAGCUGCGCAAGACGUACGACGCGCCCUCCGACGAGAAACCCAAGUUCUCUGGUUUUCGGUUCUCGCAUCGAUUCUGAGGGACUCCGAACUGAUGUCUGUCCUCACGCGAACAACGAUUUUCGUCAUUCUCUCUAGGUCCCUCGCAGAGUUUCCACAGAACAACUUCAUAUCCAGUUCUUUAUGAUGUCGAUCUAUUGUUGUAAAUUCAAAAUGGGAUUGUAUUUUCUUUUCCAUAUUUUUACUCUGUGUCUGUUCCAAUAACGAUAAGCUUUCCACACCGAUUCUCGAACCAGCGACAUCUGUAUCAGUAUCUCAGCUUCUACUUUCUUAUCAUUUUUGCUAUCUGCCGAAGUGUGUAAAAACUAGCAAGCAAUGCUGUGUACGCCAGUACUUCUUCCAACGGUCGACUUUGGCUCUAACUAAUAUUCAGCAAUUAGGAAUAACCAACAUAUGUUCUUUUCUUCACAUUUUAACUUAAACGCGAACUUCAUAUCAAUGUAAUUUACACUGUCUGCACUGGUACUGCAGCUAUGUUGUACGGUACCUGGCAUCACUUACACUCUGCAGCAUGUAUAGCAGACUGUAAGUUACGAACUUAUUCAACAUUUCUAAACUGGUAGAGA